rnacentral:lncRNA from 1 species
GGGCAAGCUUCGGCAGCCGAAGGCUGCCUCCACAAGCACGUUCGGCGGCCGAAAGUUCCUUCGGCUGCCGAAACUGGUUUCUCCCAGAAUGGCAGAAACUCAGCUCCCUUAUGCAUUUAUGCCUCCAAUCUCAUCCAAACAUGCAUAAACCUAUUCUACAACACUCAUACACAAGCAUACAAGUUCCUAGGGGCAUCAACUAACUAAAGCCCCAUCUAUAACACAUCCAACAUACAUUUGCAAGCCACAUUGUUCAAAAUC